GGUCUCCUUCCGGUACGCGGUGAUCGCCACGGGCUCCUCGCCUGCCCUGGCGCCGGUUCCGGGUCUGGCGGAGGCCG
rnacentral:tRNA from 1 species